GAUGAAGAACGCAGCGAAAUGCGAUAAGUAAUGUGAAUUGCAGAAUUCAGUGAAUCAUCGAAUCUUUGAACGCACAUUGCGCCCGCCAGUAUUCUGGCGGGCAUGCCUGUUCGAGCGUCAUUUCAACCCUCAGGCCCCCAGUGCCUGGUGUUGGGGAUCGGCCCAGCCUUCCUGUAAGGCCGCCGGCCCCGAAAUCUAGUGGCGGUCUCGCUGUAGUCCUCCUCUGCGUAGUACCACAACCUCGCAGUUGGAACGCGGCGGUGGCCAUGCCGUUAAACACCCCACUUCUGAAAGUUGACCUCGGAUCAGGUAGGAAUACCCGCUGAACUUAAGCAUAUCAAUAAGCGGAGGA
rnacentral:misc_RNA from 1 species